rnacentral:rRNA from 1 species
CCAAUAGCGUAUAUUAAAGUUGUUGCAGUUAAAAAGCUCGUAGUUGAAUUUCGGGGUCAGUAGGUUGGUCGUGCCACCGGUACGUACUGGUCUCACUGAUUCCUCCUUCCUGAUGAGCUGUAAUGCCAUUAAUUUGGUGUUGCAGGGAAUCUGGCCUGUUACUUUGAAAAAAUUAGAGUUUUUAAAGCAUGCUAACGCUUGAAUACAUUGGCAUGGAAUAAUGAAAUUGGACGUUCGAUCCUAUUUUGUUGGUUUCUAGGAUUGACGUAAUGAUUAAUAGGGAUAGUUGGGGGCAUUAGUAUUCAAUUGUCAGAGGUGAAAUUCUUGGAUUUAUUGAAGACUAACUACUGCGAAAGCAUUUGCCAAGGAUGUUUUCAUUAAUCAAGAACGAAAGUUAGGGGGUCGAAGACGAUCAGAUACCGUCGUAGUCUUAACCAUAAACUAUGCCGACUAGGGAUCGGAUGAUGUUAAUUUUUUAAUGACUCAUUCGGCGCCUUACG